rnacentral:lncRNA from 1 species
GGAACCAGUCCCUGCGGGGAGAGUGUAAUAUAUGGAAUCUUGGAGUUGCGAUGUCAACUUUGAUCUGGGGGAUCAAAGAGAGGCUUGAGUUAGUUGGACAUCAUCCCCGAGUGAUUUUGAAUGCGUGGGAAUGAAUUCCGAAAAUAAAUAAGUGUUUCGGCACAAAUUGGGCGCGAAACGACUUCGAAGGAAAAUUGUUGGACUAUGAGGUUUCUGUUGAUUAAAGUGAGCAAAAUAAUAUAAAAUUAAGUGUGAAUAAAAAUGGGGUGAGAUACUAUUUUUAUUAGACUUAAGAGUGUAAAAUAUAAGUUUGGAAUGACUCGUGUUGAAAUCGGAGCGAAAACAGAAUAUUUAGAAUUUUCUGUAAAGAACGGGGCUGAUAUUUUAGCAGAAAAUGAACAGUGUCAGAAAAUUAUGAAAAUUGGAGAAUAUGUCAGAAUUAUUUUUAUGAGGCUAGAUUUAAAGUUUCAUGUUAUUCUGACACCCGGAAGAUAGAAAAUAAAAUCCGACUGUUAUCUACUAGAGAUAACAGUUCGGUAGAGCAUUCGGUGACCAAAAAUGGUCGGAACUGAAAGAUUAAAAUUUUUUUAGUUCUUGUUAUAUUAAAUUGAGUCUGACUGUCAAAUUUGAGCUCAAACGGAUAUUCAGAGGGUUCAGGCGAAAAGUAUCAGAUUCUGAAUUGAGAUCAUAUUUAAUUAAGGCUAUUGUAAAGGGUUUAUAUGCAAUUGUUUAGAGCUU